rnacentral:rRNA from 1 species
UGGGGAAUAUUGCACAAUGGGCGGAAGCCUGAUGCAGCAACGCCGCGUGCGGGAUGACGGCCUUCGGGUUGUAAACCGCUUUCAGUAGGGACGAAGCGCAAGUGACGGUACCUACAGAAGAAGCACCGGCUAACUACGUGCCAGCAGCCGCGGUGAUACGUAGGGUGCGAGCGUUGUCCGGAAUUAUUGGGCGUAAAGAGCUUGUAGGCGGUUGGUUGCGUCGUAAGUGAAAACUCAGGGCUUAACCCUGGGCUUGCUUGCGAUACGGGCUGACUUGAGGAAGGUAGGGGAGAAUGGAAUUCCCGGUGGAGCGGUGGAAUGCGCAGAUAUCGGGAGGAACACCAGUGGCGAAGGCGGCUUUCUGGACUGUAACUGACACUGAGGCACGAAAGCGUGGGGAGCAAACA